rnacentral:rRNA from 1 species
CUAGUCUUAUCGUGGAUCACUCGGCUUCG